CAAAGGUGCCAAUAUCUCUAAGCUAAGAACACGGACGCGCUUAGCAGGAUAAGGAAAUUCAUGACUUCAGGGCUAGUUACUUCAAUGUGAAGGAAGGGUCUGGUGGCUUAGACAGUGUGGGCGAUGCGCUUAGCAAGCUAAGGCGACAAGGAAGUUGUAGGUUUUUACUUUAAUCGGAGCCUCGAUCGAGAAAAGGAGUGAAAAAGAGCUAAAAACACUAAAAUUCAGCAUUUUGUACUUGUGGCCUACCCCAUGGCUGGCGCCAUAGACCCUGCCAUGAUGUGUCCAAGCUCAACUUCCCUCAACUGCCACGUUCCCAACUACUUCCACUAAGGCGCCUCAGAUUGGCCUUGUGGCGGGCGCCAUGGCCUUGUGGCGGGCGCCACAAGAGGAAAAGUUUUCCCUUCCAUUUUCAAGUUGAAGGACAUCCUUGUCAUUUCCAUCUUUUUACUUUCUUAUAAAUAGAAACUCGAAAUCACUUUUACAAUCAUCCAAACUUAGAACAGAGGUAAACUCAGAGCAACUUUGUUUCACUUAGGCAUAUAUUCAGUAUUAUAAAGUGGUAAUCGCUUUGCAUUGGAGUGUUACCACAAUUGUGUAAUCGAGUCUGUGAUAGAGUCUGUAAUCGAGUUUGGAGCACUUUGGAAGGAAGUUAAUCCUACCGCCAUUUUCAUUUCUGCUUUGCAAUUUAUUCAAUCCUCCGAUUGGAGCAGGUUUUUAUUUCC